UGGGGAAUCUUGCACAAUGGGGGAAACCCUGAUGCAGCGACGCCGCGUGAGUGAUGAAGCCCUUCGGGGUGUAAAGCUCUUUCGGCAGGGACGAUAAUGACGGUACCUGCAGAAGAAGCUGCGGCUAACUACGUGCCAGCAGCCGCGGUAAUACGUAGGCAGCAAGCGUUGUUCGGAAUUACUGGGCGUAAAGAGUGCGUAGGCGGUUUGGCAAGUUUGGUGUGAAAUCUCCUGGCUUAACUGGGAGGGUGCGCCGAAAACUGUCAGGCUAGAGUGUGGGAGAGGAAAGCGGAAUUCCUGGUGUAGCGGUGAAAUGCGUAGAUAUCAGGAGGAACACCUGCGGUGUAGACGGCUUUCUGGACCACUACUGACGCUGAGGCACGAAAGCGUGGGGAGCAAACAGGAUUAGAUACCCUGGUAGUCCACGCCCUAAACGAUGCGGACUUGGUGUUGGCCCUUCAUUGGGUCAGUGCCGCAGUUAACGCGGUAAGUCCGCCGCCUGGGGAGUACGGUCGCAAGGCUGAAACUCAAAUGAAUUGACGGGGUCAUAGCUGUUUCCUG
rnacentral:rRNA from 1 species